UACAGAGGUCUCAAGCGUUGUUCGGAUUCAUUGGGCGUAAAGGGGGCGUAGGCGGCGCGGUAAGUCGGGGGUGAAAUCUUGGAGCUUAACUCCGAAACUGCAUUCGAUACUGCCGUGCUUGAGGACUGGAGAGGAGACUGGAAUUUACGGUGUAGCGGUGAAAUGCGUAGAUAUCGUAAGGAAGACCAGUGGCGAAGGCGGGUCUCUGGACAGUUCCUGACGCUGAGGCACGAAGGCCAGGGGAGCAAACGGG
rnacentral:rRNA from 1 species